UACGGAGGAUGCAAGCGUUAUCCGGAAUUAUUGGGCGUAAAGCGUCCGCAGGUGGUUUUACAAGUCUGCUGUCAAAGCGUGGAGCUUAACUCCAUAAAGGCAGUGGAAACUGUGAGACUAGAGUUCGGUAGGGGUUACGGGAAUUCCCAGUGUAGCGGUGAAAUGCGUAGAUAUUGGGAAGAACACCAGCGGCGAAAGCGCGUAACUGGGCCUGAACUGACACUGAGGGACGAAAGCUAGGGGAGCGAAUGGG
rnacentral:rRNA from 1 species